ACAAGCGGUGGAUGAUGUGGUUUAAUUCGAUGCAACGCGAAAAACCUUACCCACCUUUGACAUGGCAGGAAUCCUAAAGAGAUUUGGGAGUGCUCGAAAGAGAACCUGCACACAGGUGCUGCAUGGCUGUCGUCAGCUCGUGUCGUGAGAUGUUGGGUUAAGUCCCGCAACGAGCGCAACCCUUGCCAUUAGUUGCUACGAAAGGGCACUCUAAUGGGACUGCCGGUGACAAACCGGAGGAAGGUGGGGAUGACGUCAAGUCCUCAUGGCCCUUAUAGGUGGGGCUACACACGUCAUACAAUGGCCGGUACAGAGGGUAGCCAACCCGCGAGGGGGAGCCAAUCCCACAAAGCCGGUCGUAGUCCGGAUCGCAGUCUGCAACUCGACUGCGUGAAGUCGGAAUCGCUAGUAAUCGCGGAUCAGCAUGUCGCGGUGAAUACGUUCCCGGGUCUU
rnacentral:rRNA from 1 species